rnacentral:tRNA from 3 species
GCCACCAUAGUAUACUGGUUGAUUACACGUCAUUGGUAAUGACGAAAGGAAAGUUCGAUUCUUUCUGGUGGCACCA